rnacentral:tRNA from 1 species
GGCCCUUUAGCUCACCGGGUAGAGCGUCGGUUUCCAAAUCCGAAGGCAGGUGGUUCGAGACCAUCAAGGGUCGCCA